GGAUUAGAUACCCUGGUAGUCCACGCCGUAAACGAUGGGCACUAGAUACAGCGGGUCUGACCCCUGCUGUGUCGUAGCUAACGUAUUAAGUGCCCCGCCUGGGGAGUACGGCCGCAAGGCUAAAACUCAAAGGAAUUGACGGGGGCCCGCACAAGCGGUGGAGCAUGUGGUUUAAUUCGACGCAAUGCGCAGAACCUUACCUGGUCUUGACAUCCCGGGAAUCUUGUGGAAACACGAGAGUGCCUCUUUGAGGAGCCUGGUGACAGGUGCUGCAUGGCUGUCGUCAGCUCGUGCUG
rnacentral:rRNA from 1 species